UGGGGAAUUUUGGACAAUGGGCGCAAGCCUGAUCCAGCCAUGCCGCGUGCGGGAAGAAGGCCUUCGGGUUGUAAACCGCUUUGUCAGGGAAGAAAAGGUUCUGGCUAAUACCUGGGACUCAUGACGGUACCUGAAGAAUAAGCACCGGCUAACUACGUGCCAGCAGCCGCGGUAAUACGUAGGGUGCAAGCGUUAAUCGGAAUUACUGGGCGUAAAGCGUGCGCAGGCGGUUAUGCAAGACAGAGGUGAAAUCCCCGGGCUCAACCUGGGAACUGCCUUUGUGACUGCAUGGCUAGAGUACGGUAGAGGGGGAUGGAAUUCCGCGUGUAGCAGUGAAAUGCGUAGAUAUGCGGAGGAACACCGAUGGCGAAGGCAAUCCCCUGGACCUGUACUGACGCUCAUGCACGAAAGCGUGGGGGAGCAAACAGGAUUAGAUACCCUGGUAGUCCACGCCCUAAACGAUGCCAACUGGUUGUUGGGAGGGUUUC
rnacentral:rRNA from 1 species